CUGGGCGUAAGCGCACGCAGGCGGUCUGUCAAGUCGGAUGUGAAAUCCCCGGGCUCAACCUGGGAACUGCAUCCGAAACUGGCAGGCUUGAGUCUCGUAGAGGGGGGUAGAAUUCCAGGUGUAGCGGUGAAAUGCGUAGAGAUCUGGAGGAAUACCGGUGGCGAAGGCGGCCCCCUGGACGAAGACUGACGCUCAGGUGCGAAAGCGUGGGGAGCAAACAGGAUUAGAAACCCUNGUAGUC
rnacentral:rRNA from 1 species